UGAAAGUUGGUGUGAGGGAAACUUGUUGAAGGAGAAAAAGUACUAUGUGAAUAUAUGCAGACGAUAUUUGUAAAAUGAAUUAAGUAGCUGGACACAUGGUACUGAUGGUAGAAUGACAAUUUAUUGUGCGAAGUGUAUAUUACACUUCAGGAGCCUAGCUAAUCUCUUAAAACAGUUCUCUCCUAUCAUAGUUGUUACAAUAGACUGUAUCGUAGGGCAUGAUCAGUUUAUAUCACCAAGCCUACAACAAAUGGAUCUUGAUUGUAUCGAAAUCCAUUUUUUUACUUGCCUCACUCCCUAAUUAAAAUCUUAACUCUUAUUUCGAGUUUUAAGCUAUUGGUUUUUUCAUCAAAUUCGAAUUUUAUUCUUUAACUUAAUUAAAUUUCCCUUCUCCUCUCUAUAAACUACUUGUACUCGUAAUAUAUAUUAAAGUUCUAAUGGAUAAUUGUCAAAUGUAUAAGGAAUCCAUCUAUCUUUCUCUCAUAUACCAUUACAAUUGACUAAAUGGAAUUAACGGAACACGUUAAAAAAAGACAUCCCUUAAGCUAUAGGUAAAUAGGAGAUAGAACAUGUUGAAAGCGCCAUGAUGAACUAGUCUCAUCAAAACGCAUAAAAAUCAUACAACCUUUUCGAUUCGAUUGAGAAUGUUUUGAUGGUAUUGGACAAUGGACGUCGAUGUCAAUAAAAAAGUUAUAGUAGCAUUGUGGGCGGUCAACGACCGUUAAGCACAUAGGCCUUCUGAGGGGUAAGCCGUGCCCCCUUGAGAGGCAGAUGCUUUGAAAAGUCGAUCAGGUUCAAUGGCUCGAUCCUUCAGUUCAAUAGUUGCUGUGAAAAAAUUAUUUUGAACAACGCAUAACUAUAAUUUUUUUUUCAAGUUGAAAAAAUUACCAUCUCUGGUUGGAUGGUUAUGACCUUGAGGAAUACAUUCAGGGAAAACUAGUGACUCAACUCUCCUUGAAAAUUUCCUGCCUAUCAAGGCCAUAGUCAUUGUUUUCUUCGAUUAUGAGGACUUACGCGAUCGAGUUACUUCCGAGUGGAAAACGGUCAACUUCGAAUUUUACUGGAACGUCUGCGUCAUGGACCCAAUAUUGGGAUCAGUGCAUUGCUAGCCAUAUUACAAAACCAACCCAACUACGUCCCUCUACCUUUCGCAGUGUGACAACGAGUCAAUCAUCUACUCGACAUCGACACAACACCAUCUCGAAUCGACACCUGCAACUCAUCUCUAGCUGCACUAUACUGCUCCUAGAGGGUAGUCCCGCGCGGGGAACAUAUAUUACGUUUACUUUAAUUUUACACUUUGUAUUCAUUCAAGUUUUAUGGUGGCCUUGGUCCAAUUGUAAUUUCAUUAUUGAUCAAUA